rnacentral:rRNA from 1 species
AGCGAACGCUGGCGGCAUGCUUAACACAUGCAGGUCGCACGGUUGGGGGCAACUCCGGCAGUGGCGGACGGGUGAGGAACACGUAGGAACAUGUCCAGAGGUGGGGAAUAACGCUGGGAAACUGGCGCUAAUACCGCAUAGGAGCUGAGGCUCAAAGCCGCGAGGCGCCUUUGGAGUGGCCUGCGUCCGAUUAGCUUGUUGGUGGGGUAAUGGCCUACCAAGGCGACGAUCGGUAGCUGGUCUGAGAGGACGAUCAGCCACACUGGGACUGAUACACGGCCCAGACUCCUACGGGAGGCAGCAGUGGGGAAUAUUGGACAAUGGGCGCAAGCCUGAUCCAGCAAUGCCGCGUGUGUGAAGAAGGUCUUCGGAUUGUAAAGCACUUUCGGCGGGGACGAUGAUGACGGUACCCGCAGAAAAAGCCCCGGCUAACUUCGUGCCAGCAGCCGCAGUAAUAC